AUUGAACGCUGGCGGCAGGCCUAACACAUGCAAGUCGAACGAGUGGCGGACGGGUGUGUAAUGUCUGGGAAACUGCCUGAUGGAGGGGGAUAACUUCUGGAAACGGUCGCUAAUACCGCAUACUAUCGGAUGUGCCCAGAUGGGAGUAGCUAGUAGGUGGGGUAAACGCUCACCUAGGCGACGAUCCCUACCUGGUCUGAGAGGAUGACCAGGGACACGGGAACGGAGACACGGUACAGACUCCGACGGGAGGCGGCAGUGGGGAAUAUUGCGCAAUGGGCGCAAGCCUGAUGCAGCCAUGCCGCGUGUCUGAAGAAGGGCUUCGGGUUGUAAAGUACUUUCAGCGGGGAGGCGUUACCCGCAGAAGAAGCACCGGCUAACUCCGUGCCAGCAGCCGCGGUAAUUC
rnacentral:rRNA from 1 species